rnacentral:rRNA from 1 species
UAAGGAAUAUUGGUCAAUGGACGCAAGUCUGAACCGGCCAUGCCGCGUGAAGGAUGAAGGUCCUCUGGAUUGUAAACUUCUUUUAUCUGGGACGAAAACGGGAUUUUUAUCUCAAUUGACGGUACCAGAGGAAUAAGCACCGGCUAACUCCGUGCCAGCAGCCGCGGUAAUACGGAGGGUGCGAGCGUUAUCCGGAUUUACUGGGUUUAAAGGGUGCGUAGGUGGGCUUAUAAGUCAGUGGUGAAAUCUCCGAGCUUAACUUGGAAACUGCCGUUGAUACUAUAGGUCUUGAAUUAUCUGGAGGUAAGCGGAAUAUGUCAUGUAGCGGUGAAAUGCUUAGAUAUGACAUAGAACACAAAUUGCGAAGUCAGCUUACUGCAUAUAAAUUGACGCUGAGUCACGAAAGCGUGGGGAUCAAACA